rfam:Pristionchus pacificus strain PS312 contig4592, whole genome shotgun sequence.
UCUUCAUUUCCCACACUCUCUCACCGGUCAGAGAGGCGAGAGAGUGUGUGUGUGUGAAAUGAAGAGA